GGCGCGCGGAGAGGAGCGUCGGGCGGCCGCGCGCGCAAUGGCUGCAUCUGAGGUGACCGCCUCGUCCUCCGGAUUCUCUGAGAGGUGUGCGGUGUGGACCCGCCCCUGGCACCUGGGCGUGAGUCCCGGGUUGUGACGGCGUGUGUGUACAAUCCUGACUGCAGUCGCAGUGUGGACUCUCCCCGGCGUCGAACAAUGACCCCACUGGCGUGUGCUACGAUCCGCCCUAAUUCUGACCCUACCUCGCUGGCGACGGCUCAGCCCCCAGGACGGCGCUCACCCCCCUCCCCCACCGGACCCCAGUUCCAGGUCUGUAGGUCAGAGUUUCUGGGGACCCUCCUCCGAGGGCUUAAUAUGCCAAGAGCGGAUCACAGACCUGGGAGAGGCGUCUUACUUACCAGUCACCAGCGUUACAAAAGGACGUAACCCAGCAAUGGCCCUGGAAGAGGUGCGCAGGGUGAAGCUUCCAGUCUUCCAGCGCCUCCACGCGUUCACCGACCCGGAAGCGCUCUGAACCGCGUCCUUUUUCGGAAGAGGCCACACCGCAAAGGCACGGUGGAUGAAACCUUUGGCCAAUGGUGAUGGAACUGCAUUUCCAGCCCCUCUCCCCUGCACCGAGAGAGAAUAUCUCAAGCAGUCUCUGUACUGGGAGUCUGAUGAGGGUCUCAAUCCCAUGACCCUGACACCAUGACCUGAGCGGAAAUCAAGGAUCGGAUCCUCAACUGAUUAAGCCACCCGGAUUUUUGGAGACAACCUUUGAAGGGGCUGGAUGCUUUGCGCUGGCCAUUGAGGAGAUCAACAGAGAUGCCAAUCUGCUUCCCAACCUCACCCUGGGUGUCUCCCUUUGGGACUCCAGGUGUCCCUGGCCCUUCAAAAGGUAGUGAAUCUGCACUCAGGUUACAAGGGCUGCACUCCUAACUACAGGUGUUGGGGCAGCCCCCCUCUGGCUGCAGUGGUUGGAACAACAAGUUCAGCUCUUUCUAGUCCCAUGGCAAAACAUCUGGGGCUUUACAAAAUUCCUCAGGUGAGUAGUCCUGAAACCCCCAUCAUUAUGCUUAAUUACAUCCCUAUUACAAGCAUCAUGGACUUACUUAUUUAUAGAAAGUCAAAUUCUUUUUGAGCCUCCUUAUCCUAAACUACAAAAUAAAGAAAACCAUAGUCUUCUCCUUGUAAGUUGGGGGAAGGACUGAAGAAUAGAUGUGAAGGGUGAAAACAGACUAAGUCCUAACGUGGUAUUAUUGUCUUGACUCUUACCCUCUUCCUCUUCUUCAUCCUUCUCCUCUUCUUCAAUUUCCUGUUAUCAUUGGCAGUUUUCUUAUCACAUAGUAAAAUAUCAGGAAUUGUUGGGGCGCCUGGGUGGCUCAGUCGGUUAAGCGUCCGACUUCGGCUCAGGUCAUGAUCUCGCGGUCCGUGAGUUCGAGACCCGCGUCGGGCUCUGUGCUGACAGCGCAGAGCCUGGAGCCUGUUUCAGAUUCUGUGUCUCCCUCUCUCUCUGACCCUCCCCCAUUCAUGCUCUGUCUCUCUCUAUCUCAAAAAUAAAUAAACGUUAAAAAAAAAAAAAAAGAAAUUGUAUUAAGGUCUCAUACCCUGUGGUCAUCAUGUACCAAACCAACCUUUCAGAUUCUCGGAUGACAGUCAAAUCUUGUCUCAGAGACAUUAUUUAUACAUCGCUACCAUAACAAAAACAACCACAAUAGUAGCAUCCACUUAAGAAGGAACUCUGAUUCUCCUGGAAUUUUUCUAAGAAAUUCUCAUUUUGAGGAAUCUGUGGUAGCGAGGAAUUGUGCCUUCAUUCUUGCCUGGGGAUUUCAGAAGCCGUGAGUCCCACCCCCCUGUACCAACCAGGAGAGGAGAAUAGAAAAAGUGCACGGAGUAUUCUCAGAAGAAAGCCUUAUUGGACUUUCCAUUCUUUUAUGUGUGGCUGUCAGACAGAGGUCUGUCUGGGGCGCCUGGGUGGCUCAGCUGGUUGAGAGUCCAGCUUUGGCUCAGGUCAUGAUCUCGCAGUUCAUGAGUUCAAGCCCCGCAUGGGGCUUGCUGCUCUCAGUGCAGAGUCUGCUUUGGAUCUUCUGUCCCUCUCUCUCUGCCUCUCCCCUGCUUGUGCACAUGUGCUCGCGCACUCUCUCUC